CUGGUCAGUCAUAAAAUGGAAUUAAAUCCUGUCAUUCAUGGCAACAUGCAUUGAACUAGAGGACAUUAUGUUAAGUGAAAUAAGCCAGAAACAGAAAAUUAAACAGCACGUAGUCUCGUUCAUAUGUGGAAGCU